rnacentral:tRNA from 1 species
UGAUGUAGCUCAACAGGCAGAGCAGCUGAUUUGUAAUCAGCAGGUUACAGGUUCGAUUCCUGCCAUCA